UAGCUAGUUGGUGAGGUAAAGGCUUACCAAGGCGACGAUCUGUAGCGGGUCUGAGAGGAUGAUCCGCCACACUGGAACUGAGACACGGUCCAGACUCCUACGGGAGGCAGCAGUGGGGAAUUUUGGACAAUGGGGGCAACCCUGAUCCAGCCAUGCCGCGUGAGUGAAGAAGGCCUUCGGGUUGUAAAGCUCUUUCGGCCGGGAAGAAAUCGCAUGGGCCAAUACCCUGUGUGGAUGACGGUACCGGAAUAAGAAGCACCGGCUAACUACGUGCCAGCAGCCGCGGUAAUACGUAGGGUGCGAGCGUUAAUCGGAAUUACUGGGCGUAAAGCGUGCGCAGGCGGUUUUGUAAGACAGGCGUGAAAUCCCCGGGCUUAACCUGGGAACUGCGUUUGUGACUGCAAGGCUAGAGUACGGCAGAGGGGGGUGGAAUUCCACGUGUAGCAGUGAAAUGCGUAGAGAUGUGGAGGAACACCAAUGGCGAAGGCAGCCCCCUGGGUCGAUACUGACGCUCAUGCACGAAAGCGUGGGUAGCAAACAGGAUUAGAUACCCUGGUAGUCCACGCCCUAAACUAUGUCAACUAGGUGUUGGGUGGGUAAAACCAUUUAGUACCGUAGCUAACGCGUGAAGUUGACCGCCUGGGGAGUACGGCCGCAAGGUUAAAACUCAAAGGAAUUGACGGGGACCCGCACAAGCGGUGGAUGAUGUGGAUUAAUUCGAUGCAACGCGAAAAACCUUACCUACCCUUGACAUGCCAGGAACUUGCCAGAGAUGGCUUGGUGCCCGAAAGGGAGCCUGGACACAGGUGCUGCAUGGCUGUCGUCAGCUCGUGUCGUGAGAUGUUGGGUUAAGUCCCGCAACGAGCGCAACCCUUGUCGUUAAUUGCCAUCAUUUGGUUGGGCACUUUAACGAGACUGCCGGUGACAAACCGGAGGAAGGUGGGGAUGACGUCAAGUCCUCAUGGCCCUUAUGGGUAGGGCUUCACACGUCAUACAAUGGUCGGUACAAAGGGUUGCCAAGCCGCGAGGCGGAGCCAAUCCCAGAAAGCCGAUCGUAGUCCGGAUUGCAGGCUGCAACUCGCCUGCAUGAAGUCGGAAUCGCUAGUAAUCGUGGAUCAGCAUGUCACGGUGAAUACGUUCCCGGGUCUUGUACACACCGCCCGUCACACCAUGGGAGCGGGUUCCGCCAGAAGUGGGUAGCCUAACCGCAAGGAGGGCGCUUACCACGGCGGGGUUCGUGACUGGGGUGAAGUCGAAACAAGGUAGCCGUAGGGGAACCUGCGGCUG
rnacentral:rRNA from 1 species